AAUAUCCCCCUGCACUUAGGUUCCAGCCCCUUUACACAACUUGAAAGGCGCAGUUCUUACCACUUCAUGGCAGCUCCUGCCACGAAAGUCUCUUGCCAUGGCUAAUUGGCUAUUAGCAAACCGUGGCACGUGUGUAUAUACCUCGGCGAUGGCAAAAAGUACUGCCGUUACCGCGGCAGAUUUGCCAUGGUUUCAAGGCAGCUUCGGAAAAUGGUUUCGGUACGUGGUAUGACCAUGAAUGUUGCGUGAAUGAAAACCAUGAAUGGGUUUUUUGUUCUAUGGAUGACUGGAUGAUGGUAGGUGAGUACUGAUGUGCCUGAUUAGAUUUAGUGCAUUUCGACUUUGGUAAUUCCAGUUACAGAGUUGUAAGAUUUGUGAGCUGUUAUCCAUGCAAGACUCUGUGGUUUAUAGAAUUUUUCGGACUGUCUGAUAGCUGGAUAGUCUGCCAGUACGGUACGGGCACGGUAAAGCAAUCAUUGAACUCUAAUGGUAGGUGAAUUGCUAGGUCUCUGUUAAUUUAAAUGAAAUUUUUCUGAGAAAUAUUCUACGCAAAUGCAAUUACAAAAUGUUUUAAUAUAUGACGUCUAAGCAAAUAUAGCAUAUUCUGUAUUGUAUUGCUCUUUAAACAAGAAAUUCUUCUACUGUUGUGAACAAAGUUUCAUAGUUUCAGAUUACAGAUCCAUCUCAAGGGAGUGUCACUAUUUACGAUCCUAUUGGCCAUCAUGCAUGAAGAGACUUAUGCUGAUACUCUGAUGGAGAAUUGGAGAUUUGUGAAUGCCGGAGCAAUCUUAACAGGAUGUACAACAAACUUUGAACAUUCAACAGGCAUCUGUCAAAUUUCCAGAAUCCAUUUUGAAAAGUUUCUAUUGGAAGCCACAGGAUGUUGAGUAUCAGCUUGAGGUCACUACUCAUCGCGUAUGCAAGAAAAUUUUACUCAUUUUUCCGGUUGGUUAGAAUCUGAGGGCGAUGAAUGUGAUGGGUGUAAAAGAUGGUGCCACAAAUAUUACACUGAUUUUGCUUGUAGCGGGGAGUUUUUCUGUGACCACUGCACAUAAAACUUGAGUUCUUGUGUAAUUUUCUUUAAUAAAAUUUAAUAACAUGCA